rnacentral:rRNA from 1 species
AUUGAACGCUGGCGGCAUGCCUUACACAUGCAAGUCGAACGGUAACGGGCCUUCGGGUGCCGACGAGUGGCGAACGGGUGAGUAAUGUAUCGGAACGUACCUUUCAGUGGGGGAUAACGUAGCGAAAGUUACGCUAAUACCGCAUAUUCUGUGCGCAGGAAAGCAGGGGAUCGCAAGACCUUGCGCUGAUUGAGCGGCCGAUAUCAGAUUAGCAAGUUGGUGAGGUAAAGGCUCACCAAGGCGACGAUCUGUAGCGGGUCUGAGAGGAUGAUCCGCCACACUGAAACUGAGACACAGUCCAGACUCAGACGGGAGGCAGCAGUGGGGAAUAUUGGACAAUGGGGGCAACACUGAUCCAGCCAUGCCGCGUGAGUGAAGAAGGCCUUCGGGUUGUAGAGCUCUUUCGGCCGGGAAGAAAUCGUAUCAGCUAAUACCUGGUGCGGAUGACGGUACCGGCAUAAGAAGCACCGGCUAACUACGUGCCAGCCGCCGCGGUAACAC